UAGUGAUUAAAUGAUUGGAUCAGUCGUCUGCUAGCCCCUUCCUUGUGCGCAAUGAUUUCGCGUGCCGCCUUUCUUACUGCUCUUCUCAUGCUGAUUUGUGCCAGCCAUGUGGCUUUGCAAUUGAGCAUAACAGUUCCGGGCACAAAGUGGUGCGGACCCGGGAACAUAGCAGCCAACUACGAUGACUUGGGCACUGAGCGAGAGGUCGACAUGUGCUGCCGGGCGCACGACAACUGUCGGGAAAAGAUUCCGCCGCUGGAGGAAGCCUUCGGACUAAGAAACGACGGAAUUUUUCCCAUAUUCUCGUGUUCCUGCGAGGCUGCUUUCCGAAGCUGUCUCAACGCUCUGCGAAACGGACACUCCCUGGCUCUUGGAAAAAUCUACUUCAACACCAAGGAUGUGUGCUUUGGCUACGGACAUCCCAUCAUUGACUGUCAGGAAAGGCAGGCCGACUUGUUUGAGACUCGAUGUGUCAGCUACCGAGUGGACGAGGGUCAGUCGCAGUGCUGGCAGUUCUACGAUUUGGCCUUCUACACACACGUGAGCGGCAGCGCGGAGGACUCCCGAAAUUGAACUUCGACGUCCAGCGAUAAGACCUCAAUUGUUUACAAAACAGAUUGUACAGGGAGGGAAACCUAAAGUGAUUAGGAUUUUGACGUUGCAAGGGUUUUAAUAAUCAUUUCAAAUGGGUAUGUUAUAAUGGCAAAUAAGUGAUAACGCUCUACCGAAAUCACCCAA